rnacentral:tRNA from 1 species
GGCUCAGUGGUGUAGUGGUCUAACACAUAGUGCCUCGGAUAGACCCGAGACGCGGGUUCGAAUCCCGCCGGAGCCA